rnacentral:rRNA from 1 species
UACGUAGGGUGCAAGCGUUAUUCGGAAUUACUGGGCGUAAAGCGUGCGCAGGCGGCUUUGCAAGCCAGAUGUGAAAUCCCCGGGCUCAACCUGGGAACUGCAUUUGUGACUGCAUGGCUAGAGUGCGGCAGAGGGGGAUGGAAUUCCGCGUGUAGCAGUGAAAUGCGUAGAUAUGCGGAGGAACACCGAUGGCGAAGGCAAUCCCCUGGGCCUGCACUGACGCUCAUGCACGAAAGCGUGGGGAGCAAACAGG